UGGCGCUCCUCGGCCGCGCCUCCGGCGCCUCCCGGGAACUGCUGACGCAGCUCCCAGCUGGGCCUCCACCUGGAUCCCAGCGGGCGCGGAGCGAGUCGGUACCGCGAGUCAGAGUUUGAACAGCUGAUGUUCAAGGACAGAUAAUGAGGAGGAGGAAUCAGUCCCACUCCUCCGAGGACAGUCACAUCCUAUGCUAAGCUACCCUAGUGCCCUGAGCUUAUUGGCAGCCUCGUCAACAAAGGAAAGCACCCACCCCACAUUUCUCCGAGUCAGGAAAUGGACACAGGCAAGAAGGAGAUUCAUCACCUGGAUGGCCACAAGAGCUGGGAGGUCCUUGGACCAACUUGUAACAAACUUAGGAAGGCAUCUCUGGGCCAUGGAACUGGCUCGUCAGGGAGACCAGGGAAUCUGAAAACAAUCCUGCUGCCUCCCCACCCCUAGCUUCAAACUCACCAUAGCCACAACCACAACCAGGCGAAAACCAGGCCAAGGAAAACAAGGUGAAAA